rnacentral:rRNA from 1 species
UACAGAGGGUGCAAGCGUUGUUCGGAAUUAUUGGGCGUAAAGGGCGCGUAGGCGGUGCGGUAAGUCUGUAGUGAAAUCUCUGGGCUCAACCCAUAGUCUGCAUCGGAAACUGUCGGGCUGGAGUAUGGGAGAGGUGAGUGGAAUUUCCGGUGUAGCGGUGAAAUGCGUAGAUAUCGGAAGGAACACCUGUGGCGAAAGCGGCUCACUGGACCAUUACUGACGCUGAUGCACGAAAGCUAGGGGAGCAAACAGG